rnacentral:rRNA from 1 species
CUGGAAGGGGUGUAUUUAUUAGAUAAAAAUCAACUUUGUUGGUGAAUCAUAAUAACUUCUCGGACCGCAUGGCCUCGUGCUGGCGGUGCUUCAUUCAAAUAUCUGCCCUAUCAACUGUCGAUGGUAGGAUAGAGGCCUACCAUGGUUGCAACGGGUAACGGGGAAUAAGGGUUCGAUUCCGGAGAGGGAGCCUGAGAAACGGCUACCACAUCCAAGGAAGGCAGCAGGCGCGCAAAUUACCCAAUCCCAACACGGGGAGGUAGUGACAAUAUGUAACAAUAUACGGCCUUAUACGUCGUAUAAUUGGAAUGAGUACAAUUUAAAUCCCUUAACGAGGAACAAUUGGUGGGCAAGUCUGGUGCCAGCAGCCGCGGUAAUUCCAGCUCCAAUAGCGUAUAUUAAAGUUGUUGCAGUUAAAAAGCUCGUAGUUGGACCUUGGACCUGGACAGGCGGUCCGCCUCACGGCGAGUACUGUCUUGCUGGGUCUUUCCUCUUGGUGAUCUGUUGUUUCGGCAGCAGGGAACCAGGACCUUUACUUUGAAAAAAUUAGAGUGUUCAAAGCAGGCUCGACGCCGG